rnacentral:lncRNA from 1 species
CACAUCCCAGCUGGGUCCUCCAGGAGAGCAAGGCCUUUCCUGACUUCCCCUGACCAUAAAGAAGCAGAUGUCAGCAUCCGGCCCUCAGGAGAUGUGGGAAAUACGCUUUCUCAGAUAUCCUACCGGUAAAACCACUUAAACCCUGGUUAAUGGUCACUCACUCAAACCAAUUUUUUUCUCUUUUAAACAAGAGCCUUCAGGAUACAGUGAUUUAUCCUAAAGAGUGUUUUUAUGGUGGAAGAGACCCUGUUUGGGCAGACAGGUCUUUGGAACUCUUGAGCCGCAUUUACUGUGUAGGUCGCCACCUCUGUUCCAUGGCUUCUGCCUGGUUAGCUAUUUUUCUGGCUUUCCUGAGAAUCAGCACAGGGAUGACAGAGAAUGCGACCCCUUAAAGGACGUAUCUACUAAAAACAUCCAGAGAGCUUGCCCAGCUGCCGAUCUGGGACUUUUGGUAGAACCCCACCAGGCCACUCAAUCCACGCAAGAAAUUGAAACAAGCAGCAGAGAUUGGGGGAAAUGUGCUGAAGGUGGCAGUCAAGUGGGGUCCAUUGAGGCACCACUUCUGCUGAUGUCUUCUACCAUCUUCCUGGAGUCUUCUGCCGUCUUCCUGGCCAAACUUGGAGCACUCCCAACCCUCCUCUGAGCUAGGAGUCAUUAAGCUGUUUUGGCUAGAUCCUCCAUGGACAUGUAGCAGAGUAUUUAUAUCCCACCUGCUUUUUUUCCCUAAUGUCAACAACUCAACUGACUUUGGUGUUUUCUUUGCUGCAUUAGAAGAAGUCAGUUUCUCUUAUGGACAGGAAGGUGACCUUCUCUUGAAUAAAAUACAUUUUUCCUACUAGCA